rnacentral:rRNA from 1 species
CUAGACAUGCAAGUCGAGCGAGAAAGUACUUCGGUACGAGUACAGCGGCGGACGGGUGAGUAACGCGUAGGAAUCUACCUAGUAGUGGGGGACAACUCGUGGAAACGCGAGCUAAUACCGCAUACGCCCUGAGGGGGAAAGCGGGGGAUCUUCGGACCUCGUGCUAUUAGAUGAGCCUGCGUAAGAUUAGCUAGUUGGUGGGGUAAAAGCCUACCAAGGCGACGAUCUUUAGCUGGUCUGAGAGGAUGAUCAGCCACACCGGGACUGAGACACGGCCCGGACUCCUACGGGAGGCAGCAGUCGGGAAUAUUGCGCAAUGGGGGAAACCCUGACGCAGCCAUGCCGCGUGUGUGAAGAAGGCCCUAGGGUUGUAAAGCACUUUCAAUUGGGAGGAAAAGCUAAUGGUUAAUAACCAUUAGCCCUGACGUUACCUUUAGAAGAAGCACCGGCUAACUCCGUGCCAGCAGCCGCGGUAAUACGGAGGGUGCAAGCGUUAAUCGGAAUUACUGGGCGUAAAGCGCGCGUAGGCGGUUUUUUAAGUCGGAUGUGAAAGCCCCGGGCUCAACCUGGGAACUGCAUCCGAUACUGGAAGACUAGAAUGCGGGAGAGGGAGGUAGAAUUCCAUGUGUAGCAGUGAAAUGCGUAGAUAUAUGGAGGAAUACCAGUGGCGAAGGCGGCCUCCUGGCUCGACAUUGACGCUGAGGUGCGAAAGCGUGGGGAGCAAACGGGAUUAGAUACCCCGGUAGUCCACGCCGUAAACGAUGUCUACUAGCUGUAGGGGUACUUGAGACCUUUGUAGCGCAGCUAACGCAAUAAGUAGACCGCCUGGGGAGUACGGCCGCAAGGUUA